UACAGAGGGUGCAAACGUUGCUCGGAAUCAUUGGGCGUAAAGCGCGUGUAGGCGGCUCAGCAAGUCGGGUGUGAAAGCCCUCGGCUUAACCGAGGAAGUGCGCCUGAAACUACUGAGCUUGAGUACCGGAGAGGGCGGUGGAAUUCCCGGUGUAGAGGUGAAAUUCGUAGAUAUCGGGAGGAACACCAGCGGCGAAGGCGACCGCCUGGACGGCUACUGACGCUGAGACGCGAAAGCGUGGGGAGCAAACAGG
rnacentral:rRNA from 1 species